rnacentral:tRNA from 1 species
AACAGUAUAGCUUAGCUGGCAGAGCACUUGCCUAUCAUGCAAAGAGUCCUAAGUUUGAUCCCUAGCACUGUAU